UACGUAGGGAGCAAGCGUUGUCCGGAAUCAUUGGGCGUAAAGCGCGCGUAGGUGGCCCCAUAAGUCCGCUGUGAAAGUCAAAGGCUCAACCUUUGAAAGCCGGUGGAUACUGUGGGACUAGAGUACGGAAGAGGCGAGUGGAAUUCCUGGUGUAGCGGUGAAAUGCGCAGAUAUCAGGAAGAACACCAAUGGCGAAGGCAGCUCUCUGGGACGGUACUGACACUGAGACGCGAAAGCGUGGGGAGCGAACAGG
rnacentral:rRNA from 1 species